rnacentral:rRNA from 1 species
CAGCCAAGUCGUGAGGCGGAGCUAAUCCCUUAAAGCCAUUCUCAGUUCGGAUUGUAGGCUGAAACUCGCCUACAUGAAGCUGGAGUUACUAGUAAUCGCAGAUCAGAAUGCUGCGGUGAAUGCGUUCCCGGGUCUUGUACACACCGCCCGUCACACCACGGAAGUUGGGGGCGCCUGAAGCCACUUAGCUAACCCUUUUGGGAAGCGAGUGUCGAAGGUGAAAUCAAUAACUGGGGUGAAGUCGUAACAAGGUACC